rnacentral:rRNA from 1 species
AGUGAACGCUGGCGGUAGGCCUAACACAUGCAAGUCGAACGGCAGCACAGUAAGAGCUUGCUCUUACGGGUGGCGAGUGGAGGACGGGUGAGGAAUACAUCGGAAUCUACUUUUUCGUGGGGGAUAACGUAGGGAAACUUACGCUAAUACCGCAUACGACCUACGGGUGAAAGCAGGGGAUCUUCGGACCUUGCGCGAUUGAAUGAGCCGAUGUCGGAUUAGCUAGUUGGCGGGGUAAAGGCCCACCAAGGCGACGAUCCGUAGCUGGUCGGAGAGGAUGAUCGGCCACACUGGAACUGAGACACGGACCAGACGCCUACGGGAGGGAGCAGUGGGGAAUAUUGGACAAUGGGCGCAAGCCUGAUCCAGCCAUACCGCGUGGGUGAAGGAGGCCUUCGGGUUGGAAAGCCCUUUUGUUGGGAAAGAAAAGCAGCAGGUUAAUACCCCGCUGUUCUGACGGUACCCAAAGAAUAAGCACCGGCUAACUUCGUG